UACGAGGGGUGCAAGCGUUGCUCGGAAUUAUUGGGCGUAAAGGGUAGGUAGGUGGUCUCAUUUGUCUGGGGUGAAAGCCUUGAGCUUAACUCAAGAAGUGCCCCAGAAACGGUGAGACUGGAGUCUUGGAGAGGGUCGUGGAAUUCCCGGUGUAGCGGUGAAAUGCGUAGAGAUCGGGAGGAACACCAGCGGCGAAGGCGGCGACCUGGACAAGUACUGACACUCAACUACGAAAGCGUGGGGAGCAAACAGG
rnacentral:rRNA from 1 species